GUCAACUGUUUACAAAAAAUUAAUUAGCUUUUUUGAUGUCCUCCAUUUGUAGGCUCGUGACUCGCAUUCGAUGAAUGAAUGUUCGGAGAAAGCGCAUCGACCAAAUUAUUAUCGCCCGCAACCACCUAAAAGAAUCAAACAAUAUAGAAAUCAUUAAUUAUAUGAAAAAAUCAAUAAAAUUUGUUGAGGAUAAAAAUUUAGCAUACUCGAGAAUUGAGCAAUAUUGUAUCCGAAAAUAGUGUUUUAAGUCGAUGCAAUUCAUCUCGCAUCUCUUGCAUCUCUUCUUUAAGCUUUUCUACUUCUCCUGGUUGGCCUUCUCUUGAUUCGCUUGUUGUAGGAAAGUUUAUAUGCUUCACGCCAUAAUAUGAUCUUAG
rnacentral:lncRNA from 1 species